GCAGGCAUAGCUCAGUGGUCAAGCAUGUGCUUAGCAGGCACGGAGUCCUGGGUUCAAUCCCCAGCACCUCUU
rnacentral:tRNA from 1 species